rnacentral:rRNA from 1 species
CCCUUAGAUGUUCUGGGCUGCACGCGUGCUACAAUGAAGCGUCCAACAAGAUGCGAAGCCGAAAGGCUCAGCGGAUCUUUGAAGUCGUUUCGUGACCGGGACAGUUGAUUGCAAUUAUUCGACUCGAACGAGGAAUUCCUUGUAAUCGCGAUUCAUCAUAUCGCGCUGAAUACGUCCCUGCCCUUUGUACACACCGCCCGUCGCUCCUACCGAUUGAGCGAUCCGGCGAAUUAUUUGGAGUGUCCACGCAAGCCAAUCCGUUUACGUGGGUGCGAAAUUUUGUAAACCUUAUCGCUUAGAGGAAGGAAAANUCGUAACA